rnacentral:SRP_RNA from 1 species
GCGCUGUCAUGGCAUUUGUCGGGAGCGCUGGAAUUUGUUCCUUGGGUUUUUCGGCUUCUACAAUUGAUGUGUCCUGUUCGAUCUCCGCGGUCGGCGUUCUAGUCCCUACGAGCAAUCUGGGCGACUGUCGUCAGCAAUGAGCACUGUUACCACUGGAGGGUAGAAAUACAGUACAGUUCGGUGCCCGUGGGUGAGGCGAAGGGGAUAACGCGUCGUUGGUAACAUCUUACGGUGUAGGAGGUUGGAAUUUCAGGUUGAGCUGGUU